CCCCGGUAAACGGCGGCCGUAACUAUAACGGUCCUAAGGUAGCGAAAUUCCUUGUCGGGUAAGUUCCGACCUGCACGAAUGGCGUAAUGAUGGCCAGGCUGUCUCCACCCGAGACUCAGUGAAAUUGAACUCGCUGUGAAGAUGCAGUGUACCCGCGGCAAGACGGAAAGACCCCGUGAACCUUUACUAUAGCUUGACACUGAACAUUGAGCCUUGAUGUGUAGGAUAGGUGGGAGGCUUUGAAGUGUGGACGCCAGUCUGCAUGGAGCCGACCUUGAAAUACCACCCUUUAAUGUUUGAUGUUCUAACGUGGACCCGUAAUCCGGGUUGCGGACAGUGUCUGGUGGGUAGUUUGACUGGGGCGGUCUCCUCCUAAAGAGUAACGGAGGAGCACGAAGGUUGGCUAAUCCUGGUCGGACAUCAGGAGGUUAGUGCAAUGGCAUAAGCCAGCUUGACUGCGAGCGUGACGGCGCGAGCAGGUGCGAAAGCAGGUCAUAGUGAUCCGGUGGUUCUGAAUGGAAGGGCCAUCGCUCAACGGAUAAAAGGUACUCCGGGGAUAACAGGCUGAUACCGCCCAAGAGUUCAUAUCGACGGCGGUGUUUGGCACCUCGAUGUCGGCUCAUCACAUCCUGGGGCUGAAGUAGGUCCCAAGGGUAUGGCUGUUCGCCAUUUAAAGUGGUACGCGAGCUGGGUUUAGAACGUCGUGAGACAGUUCGGUCCCUAUCUGCCGUGGGCGCUGGAGAACUGAGGGGGGCUGCUCCUAGUACGAGAGGACCGGAGUGGACGCAUCACUGGUGUUCGGGUUGUCAUGCCAAUGGCACUGCCCGGUAGCUAAAUGCGGAAGAGAUAAGUGCUGAAAG
rnacentral:rRNA from 1 species